GGGCCCGUAGCUCAGCGGUAGAGCGACAGCCUUUUAAGCUGUGCGUCGAAGGUUCGAUCCCUUCCGGGCUCACCC
rnacentral:tRNA from 1 species